rnacentral:rRNA from 1 species
GACGAACGCUGGCGGCGUGCUUAACACAUGCAAGUCGAACAGAAAGGCCCUGCUUUUGUGGGGUGCUCGAGUGGCGAACGGGUGAGUAACACGUGAGUAACCUGCCCUUGACUUUGUGAUAACUUCAGGAAACUGGGGCUAAUACCGGGUAGGAGCUCCUGCUGCAUGGUGGGGGUUGGAAAGUUUCGGCGGUUGGGGAUGGACUCGCGGCUUAUCAGCUUGUUGGUGGGGUAGUGGCUUACCAAGGCUUUGACGGGUAGCCGGCCUGAGAGGGUGACCGGCGACAUUGGGACUGAGAUACGGCCCAGACUCCUACGGGAGGCAGCAGUGGGGAAUAUUGCACAAUGGGCGGAAGCCUGAUGCAGCAACGCCGCGUGCGGGAUGACGGCCUUCGGGUUGUAAACCGCUUUCGCCUGUGACGAAGCGUGAGUGACGGUAAUGGGUAAAGAAGCACCGGCUAACUACGUG